UUGGUUAGAACUCAAUACAGGUUGGCGCCGCAAUGACGCCAACACCUUGGCUCGUCACGCCGGCAACGAGCCCCAACGGCAGAGUUUUUCUGCCAGACCUCGAUUGAGGUCUACGCGAUAAAUACAGUCAAC
rfam:Pseudomonas sp. G5(2012) strain G5 PG5_10, whole genome shotgun sequence.